GGGUUCGUGGCCUAGGGGUAUGGCGUCUGCUUUGCAUGCAGAAGAUCCGGGGUUCAAUUCCCUGCGGAUCCA
rfam:Absidia glauca strain CBS 101.48 genome assembly, contig: contig_9921